AGUGAACGCUGGCGGUAGGCCUAACACAUGCAAGUCGAACGGCAGCACAGUAAGAGCUUGCUCUUACGGGUGGCGAGUGGCGGACGGGUGAGGAAUACAUCGGAAUCUACUUUUUCGUGGGGGAUAACGUGGGGAAACUUACGCUAAUACCGCAUACGACCUACGGGUGAAAGCAGGGGAUCUUCGGACCUUGCGCGAUUGAAUGAGCCGAUGUCGGAUUAGCUAGUUGGCGGGGUAAAGGCCCACCAAGGCGACGAUCCGUAGCUGGUCUGAGAGGAUGAUCAGCCACACUGGAACUGAGACACGGUCCAGACUCCUAAGGGAGGCAGCAGUGGGGAAUAUUGGACAAUGGGCGCAAGCCUGAUCCAGCCAUACCGCGUGGGUGAAGAAGGCCUUCGGGUUGUAAAGCCCUUUUGUUGGGAAAGAAAAGCAGCAGGUUAAUACCCCGCUGUUCUGACGGUACCCAAAGAAUAAGCACCGGCUAACUUCGUG
rnacentral:rRNA from 1 species